AACUGGGCAUUGAUGGCAAGUUAUUUUUUUUUAAAUUUGUACUUCAAAUAUAGGAACCAUCUUUCUUUCGGCGGAUUAUUCUCAGUUGGAACUUCGAAUAUUGACGCAUUUGAGCGAAGACGCAGGUCUUUGUUCUGUUCUUAGCCAACCCGAUGGCGAUGUUUUCCGCGGCAUUGUAUCGGUUUGGAAAAAGAAAAAGCAAGAAGAAGUCAGAGACGAUGAAAGGCAAAAAGCGAAACAAAUCUGCUACGGGAUUGUUUACGGCAUGGGAUGUAAAUGUUUAGCCGAACAGUUGGAAGUCGGGGAAGAAGAGGCUCAACUCUUUGUUAAGACUUUCCACGCAACGUAUCCUAGUAUACAAAGCUUUAUAACAAACACAGUUAACCAGUGCCUCAAGAAUGGAUUUGAUGAUGUUGAUGCCUAAUUUUCUUGACAGGUCAACCGAUGUGGAAAAAAAUUCAGGAGGAAAAUGAAUUGAGCUGCUGACAUUGGCCUAUUUCUGGAAUACAUCAGUUUGCAUCAUAAUCAGAAAGGUAAUAUUGCCUCUUUUAAUUCCUUAUCCAGUUGUAGCUAUGACUUGAGUCUGCGAAGAUAAAUUUCUUAGCUUUAUUUGAAAUUUGAGGCUGUGAUAACUUUUUGAAAUCGACAAGAUAUUUCUAAACUAAAGCUACUACACCGAGGCUCCAGCUUACUACACAACUACCUAUGCAACCCCAUCCUGCUACACUGAUGCUCCCAAGUACUAUUAAUCGUGAAAAUUGCGCUGUCCAAAGCUCGAUGAUGGAAUAUUCAGAUUUGAUUUUAUCAUUUACAGUCCUCGUUCCAAAAUAAGUAUUUCCAUUUAUGCCUUCACUAGUCGUUUUCCAUACGAAUGUUUCCAAAUGAAUUGUUGAAUACAGAUAUAAUGCCGUUAACAAAUCCCCUCGUUCUUUUUAUUUUGUAUCAAAUAAAGCUAAUGAAAGCGAUUUGUUUCCCUACAACAUUGUAAUUGCUGAACGCAUUUAUACACUAGAACAUUAGCGAGA